GACGAACGCUGGCGGCGUGCCUAAUACAUGCAAGUUGAGCGCUGAAGGUUGGUACUUGUACCAACUGGAUGAGCAGCGAACGGGUGAGUAACGCGUGGGGAAUCUGCCUUUGAGCGGGGGACAACAUUUGGAAACGAAUGCUAAUACCGCAUAAAAACUUUAAACACAAGUUUUAAGUUUGAAAGAUGCAAUUGCAUCGCUCAAAGAUGAUCCCGCGUUGUAUUAGCUAGUUGGUGAGGUAAAGGCUCACCAAGACGAUGAUACAUAGCCGACCUGAGAGGGUGAUCGGCCACAUUGGGACUGAGACACGGCCCAAACUCCUACGGGAGGCAGCAGUAGGGAAUCUUCGGCAAUGGACGAAAGUCUGACCGAGCAACGCCGCGUGAGUGAAGAAGGUUUUCGGAUCGUAAAACUCUGUUGGUAGAGAAGAACGUUGGUGAGAGUGGAAAGCUCAUCAAGUGACGGUAACUACCCAGAAAGGGACGGCUAACUACGUG
rnacentral:rRNA from 1 species